rnacentral:rRNA from 1 species
UACGGAGGGUGCGAGCGUUGUCCGGAAUCAUUGGGCGUAAAGGGCGCGUAGGUGGCUUCUUAAGCGUGCGGUGAAAGCCCCGGGCUCAACCUGGGAACGGCGCGCGAGACGGGGGGGCUGGAGUUCGGGAGAGGAGCGUGGAAUUCCCAGUGUAGAGGUGAAAUUCGUAGAUAUUGGGAAGAGCACCGGUGGCGAAGGCGGCGCUCUGGACCGAGACUGACGCUGAGGCGCGAAAGCGUGGGGAGCAAACAGG